AGAUUAAGUUAUUAAGGGCGCACGGUGGAUGCCUUGGCACUAGAAGCCGAUGAAGGACGUUACUAACGACGAUAUGCUUUGGGGAGCUGUAAGUAAGCUUUGAUCCAGAGAUUUCCGAAUGGGGAAACCCAGCAUGAGUUAUGUCAUGUUAUCGAUAUGUGAAUACAUAGCAUAUCAGAAGGCACACCCGGAGAACUGAAACAUCUUAGUACCCGGAGGAAGAGAAAGAAAAUUCGAUUCCCUUAGUAGCGGCGAGCGAAACGGGAAGAGCCCAAACCAACAAGCUUGCUUGUUGGGGUUGUAGGACACUCUAUACGGAGUUACAAAGGACGACAUUAGACGAAUCAUCUGGAAAGAUGAAUCAAAGAAGGUAAUAAUCCUGUAGUCGAAAAUGUUGUCUCUCUUGAGUGGAUCCUGAGUACGACGGAGCACGUGAAAUUCCGUCGGAAUCAGGGAGGACCAUCUCCUAAGGCUAAAUACUCUCUAGUGACCGAUAGUGAACCAGUACCGUGAGGGAAAGGUGAAAAGCACCCCGGAAGGGGAGUGAAAUAGAACCUGAAACCGUGUGCUUACAAGUAGUCAGAGCCCGUUAAUGGGUGAUGGCGUGCCUUUUGUAGAAUGAACCGGCGAGUUACGAUUUGAUGCAAGGUUAAGCAGUAAAUGUGGAGCCGUAGCGAAAGCGAGUCUGAAUAGGGCGUUUAGUAUUUGGUCGUAGACCCGAAACCAGGUGAUCUACCCUUGGUCAGGUUGAAGUUCAGGUAACACUGAAUGGAGGACCGAACCGACUUACGUUGAAAAGUGAGCGGAUGAACUGAGGGUAGCGGAGAAAUUCCAAUCGAACCUGGAGAUAGCUGGUUCUCUCCGAAAUAGCUUUAGGGCUAGCCUCAAGUGAUGAUUAUUGGAGGUAGAGCACUGUUUGGACGAGGGGCCCCUCUCGGGUUACCGAAUUCAGACAAACUCCGAAUGCCAAUUAAUUUAACUUGGGAGUCAGAACAUGGGUGAUAAGGUCCGUGUUCGAAAGGGAAACAGCCCAGACCACCAGCUAAGGUCCCAAAAUAUAUGUUAAGUGGAAAAGGAUGUGGCGUUGCCCAGACAACUAGGAUGUUGGCUUAGAAGCAGCCAUCAUUUAAAGAGUGCGUAAUAGCUCACUAGUCGAGUGACACUGCGCCGAAAAUGUACCGGGGCUAAACAUAUUACCGAAGCUGUGGAUUGUCCUUUGGACAAUGGUAGGAGAGCGUUCUAAGGGCGUUGAAGCAUGAUCGUAAGGACAUGUGGAGCGCUUAGAAGUGAGAAUGCCGGUGUGAGUAGCGAAAGACGGGUGAGAAUCCCGUCCACCGAUUGACUAAGGUUUCCAGAGGAAGGCUCGUCCGCUCUGGGUUAGUCGGGUCCUAAGCUGAGGCCGACAGGCGUAGGCGAUGGAUAACAGGUUGAUAUUCCUGUACCACCUAUAAUCGUUUUAAUCGAUGGGGG
rnacentral:rRNA from 2 species